UUACAGAUUGCCCAGCCUCACAUAUUCCUUCAUAGCAACACAAACGGACUGAGACAAUAUAUAAGUUAACAUCUGCCAUGUAGUGGAGGUUCCAGAGAAAAAGUGAGAGAAGCUGAGUCUGCACCCUCAACAUGGAGGAAAUAAGCUCUCUUAGGACCAAGAACAGAGGACAGAGGAAGGACUCCAGCAUGAUGGGCACCAAGGGAUUUUGGUCCUUCUGAGAAAGAGGAGGCAGAGUAUCUCUCUGUUGCUAGACUGGAGGGCAGUGGUACAAUCUUGGCUCACCGCAACUUCCACCUCCGGGGUUCAAGCGAUUCUCCUGCCUCAGCCUCCUGAGUACCUGGGAUUACAGUCUUUUUCAGAACUAUUUGAAAACAAGUUGCAGACGUGAUGCCUCACCACUCCUAAAUGCUAUGCGGUUCCAACAAUGUGUCUUUGCCUUCUGGCCCCAGAAUAUCAUCUGGGAAUGCGUGUUGCAUCAAGUUGCGUCUCUCCAGUUGCCUCCAAUUUGGAAUACAGGAGCCUGUGGACACCCUGCCACAAGUCUUUCUGUGCUCCUUCUACCCUCAAUACUACCAUGCAGUACCCUCCCCUGUGGUGGGGAAAGGAAGGAAAGAGAAAAGAAGGAAAAGUG